rnacentral:rRNA from 1 species
CGAGUUUACAACUCCCAAACCCCUGUGAACAUACCUUAUGUUGCCUCGGCGGAUCAGCCCGCGCCCCGUAAAAAGGGACGGCCCGCCGCAGGAACCCUAAACUCUGUUUUUAGUGGAACUUCUGAGUAUAAAAAACAAAUAAAUCAAAACUUUCAACAACGGAUCUCUUGGUUCUGGCAUCGAUGAAGAACGCAGCAAAAUGCGAUAAGUAAUGUGAAUUGCAGAAUUCAGUGAAUCAUCGAAUCUUUGAACGCACAUUGCGCCCGCCAGUAUUCUGGCGGGCAUGCCUGUUCGAGCGUCAUUUCAACCCUCAAGCCCAGCUUGGUGUUGGGAGCUGCAGUCCUGCUGCACUCCCCAAAUACAUUGGCGGUCACGUCGAGCUUCCAUAGCGUAGUAAUUUACACAUCGUUACUGGUAAUCGUCGCGGCCACGCCGUUAAACCCCAACUUCUGAAUGUUGACCUCGGAUCAGGUAGGAAUACCCGCUGAA